rnacentral:rRNA from 1 species
UACGUAGGGGGCAAGCGUUGUCCGGAAUUAUUGGGCGUAAAGCGCGCGCAGGCGGUCAUUUAAGUCUUAUGUUUAAACCCAAGGCUCAACCUUGGGACGCAUGGGAAACUGGGUGGCUUGAGUGUAGGAGAGGAAAGUGGAAUUCCACGUGUAGCGGUGAAAUGCGUAGAGAUGUGGAGGAACACCAGUGGCGAAGGCGACUUUCUGGCCUAUAACUGACGCUGAGGCGCGAAAGCGUGGGGAGCAAACAGG